rnacentral:miRNA from 10 species
GUGCAAAAGUAAUUGUGGUUUUUGUCAUUGAAAAUAAUGGCAAAAACUGCAAUAACUUU